UCCUCCGCCCGCCGCCCGGGAGCCGCAGCCGCCGCCGCCACUGCCACUCCCGCUCUCUCCGCGCCGCCGUCGCCACCGCCACCGCCACUACCACCGGCUGAGUCUGCAGUCCCGAGGAGAUCCCAGCCAUCAUGUCCAUAGAGAAGAUCUGGGCCCGGGAGAUCCUGGACUCCCGCGGGAACCCCACAGUGGAGGUGGAUCUCUAUACUGCCAAAGGGCUUUUCCGGGCUGCAGUGCCCAGUGGAGCCUCUACGGGUAUCUAUGAGGCCCUGGAGCUGAGGGAUGGAGACAAACAGCGUUACUUAGGCAAAGGUGAGGUCCUUUCUCUUUUCCAGACUCUCCCCCACCUCAGCCUUAUGCCCCUACCUCACACCAGUCCCCAGUCCUCCUCUAGCAUGCCUUCCCCUCCUCCCAUUGAUCCCUUCCGGCCCCUCCUGGCCUGACCCAGUCCAGCCUCUUCCUUUCCCCAGGUGUCCUGAAGGCAGUGGACCACAUCAACUCCACCAUCGCGCCAGCCCUCAUCAGCUCAGUGAGG
rnacentral:sRNA from 1 species